GACUACUGGGGUAUCUAAUCCUGUUUGCUCCCCACGCUUUCGCGCCUCAGCGUCAGUUACUGUCCAGAUAGUCGCCUUCGCCACUGAUGUUCCUCCUAAUAUCUACGCAUUUUACCGCUACACUAGGAAUUCCACUAUCCUCUCCAGUACUCAAGUUCUGUAGUUUCGGAUGCAGCGCCCAAGUUAAGCUUGGGAAUUUCACAUCCGACUUACAAAACCGCCUACACGCCCUUUACACCCAGUAAAUCCGGAUAACGCUUGCCACCUACGUAUUACCGCGGCUGCUGGCACGUAGUUAGCCGUGGCUUGUUUUUCAGGUACCGUCAUUUGUUUCGUCCCUGAUCAAAGAAGUUUACAACCCGAAGGCCUUCUUCCUUCACGCGGCGUUGCUGGGUCAGGCUUUCGCCCAUUGCCCAAUAUUCCCCACUGCAGCCUCCCGUAGG
rnacentral:rRNA from 1 species